UACGUAGGCAGCGAGCGUUGUUCGGAAUUACUGGGCGUAAAGAGUGUGUAGGCGGUGCUCUAAGUUCGGUGUGAAAUCUCCUGGCUCAACUGGGAGGGUGCGCCGGAAACUGGAGUGCUUGAGCGUGGGAGAGGAAAGCGGAAUUCCUGGUGUAGCGGUGAAAUGCGCAGAUAUCAGGAAGAACACCCGUGGCGAAGGCGGCUCUCUGGGACGGUACUGACGCUGAGACGCGAAAGCGUGGGGAGCGAACAGG
rnacentral:rRNA from 1 species